CUUGCUUCUCUUGAGAGCGGCGGACGGGUGAGUAAUGCCUAGGAAUCUGCCUGGUAGUGGGGGAUAACGUUCGGAAACGGACGCUAAUACCGCAUACGUCCUACGGGAGAAAGCAGGGGACCUUCGGGCCUUGCGCUAUCAGAUGAGCCUAGGUCGGAUUAGCUAGUUGGUGGGGUAAUGGCUCACCAAGGCGACGAUCCGUAACUGGUCUGAGAGGAUGAUCAGUCACACUGGAACUGAGACACGGUCCAGACUCCUACGGGAGGCAGCAGUGGGGAAUAUUGGACAAUGGGCGAAAGCCUGAUCCAGCCAUGCCGCGUGUGUGAAGAAGGUCUUCGGAUUGUAAAGCACUUUAAGUUGGGAGGAAGGGUUGUAGAUUAAUACUCUGCAAUUUUGACGUUACCGACAGAAUAAGCACCGGCUAACUCUGUGCCAGCAGCCGCGGUAAUACAGAGGGUGCAAGCGUUAAUCGGAAUUACUGGGCGUAAAGCGCGCGUAGGUGGUUUGUUAAGUUGGAUGUGAAAUCCCCGGGCUCAACCUGGGAACUGCAUUCAAAACUGACUGACUAGAGUAUGGUAGAGGGUGGUGGAAUUUCCUGUGUA
rnacentral:rRNA from 1 species